rnacentral:rRNA from 1 species
AGAGUUUGAUCCUGGCUCAGGACGAACGCUGGCGGCGUGCCUAACACAUGCAAGUCGAGCGAAGAAUAUAUAAAGAAAUCUUCGGAUGGAAAUAUAUAUUUCUUAGCGGCGGACGGGUGAGUAACGCGUGAGGAACCUGCCUUGUACAAGGGGAUAGCCUCGGGAAACCGGGAUUAAUACCCUAUAAAGCUUAUCAAGCGCAUGCUUGAUAAGCCAAAGCGUUAGCGGUGCAAGAUGGUCUCGCGUCCCAUUAGCUAGUUGGUGAGGUAAUAGCUCACCAAGGCAACGAUUGGUAGCCGGCUUGAGAGGGUGACCGGCCACACUGGAACUGAGACACGGUCCAGACUCCUACGGGAGGCAGCAGUGGGGAAUAUUGCACAAUGGAGGGAACUCUGAUGCAGCGACGCCGCGUGAGCGAUGAAGGUCUUCGGAUCGUAAAGCUCUGUCCUAAGGGACGAUAAUGACGGUACCUUAGGAGGAAGCCCCGGCUAACUACGUGCCAGCAGCCGCGGUAAUACGUAGGGGGCAAGCGUUGUCCGGAAUUACUGGGCGUAAAGGGUACGCAGGCGGCUUUGUAAGUCAGAUGUGAAAGACUAUGGCUUAACUGUGGUAAGCAUUUGAAACUACAGAGCUUGAGUACAGGAUGGGAGAGUGGAAUUCCUAGUGUAGCGGUGAAAUGCGUAGAUAUUAGGAGGAAUACCAGUGGCGAAGGCGACUCUCUGGACUGUAACUGACGCUGAGGUACGAAAGCAUGGGGAGCAAACAGGAUUAGAUACCCUGGUAGUCCAUGCUAUAAACGAUGAGUGCUAGGUGUUGGGAGGGACACCUCUCGGUGCCGAAGUUAACACAUUAAGCACUCCGCCUGGGGAGUACGGUCGCAAGACUGGAACUCAAAGGAAUUGACGGGGACCCGCACAAGCAGCGGAGCAUGUGGUUUAAUUCGAUGCAACGCGAAGAACCUUACCAGGGCUUGACAUCCUUCAGCCAGGGCUAGAGAUAGCCCCUUCCCUUCGGGGACUGAGGAGACAGGUGGUGCAUGGUUGUCGUCAGCUCGUGUCGUGAGAUGUUGGGUUAAGUCCCGCAACGAGCGCAACCCUUGUCUUUAGUUGCAAACAGCUAGGCUGUGCACUCUAAAGAGACUGCCGAUGACAAAUCGGAGGAAGGUGGGGAUGACGUCAAAUCAUCAUGCCCUUUAUGUCCUGGGCUACACACGUGCUACAAUGGUCGGUACAACGGGAAGCGACCUCGUGAGAGUGAGCAAAUCCUAUAAAGCCGAUCCCAGUUCGGAUUGUAGGCUGCAAUUCGCCUACAUGAAGCCGGAGUUGCUAGUAAUCGCGGAUCAGCAUGCCGUGGUGAAUGCGUUCCCGGGUCUUGUGCACACCGCCCGUCACACCAUGGAAGUUGGAAAUACCCGAAGCCAGUGAGCUAACCUUAUGGGGGCAGCUGUCGAAGGUAGGGCCAAUGACUGGGGUGAAGUCGUAACAAGGUAGCCUGUA